AGCUGGAUUCGCUAGUAAUCGCGCAUCAGCCAUGGCGCGGUGAAUACGUUCCCGGGCCUUGUACACACCGCCCGUCAAGCCAUGAAAGCCGGGGGUACCUGAAGUACGUAACCGCAAGGAUCGUCCUAGGGUAAAACUGGUAAUUGGGGCUAAGUCGUAACAAGGUACC
rnacentral:rRNA from 1 species